rnacentral:rRNA from 1 species
CCAGAGAUGGAUUGGUGCCUUCGGGAACUGUGAGACAGGUGCUGCAUGGCUGUCGUCAGCUCGUGUUGUGAAAUGUUGGGUUAAGUCCCGCAACGAGCGCAACCCUUAUCCUUUGUUGCCAGCGAUUAGGUCGGGAACUCAAAGGAGACUGCCAGUGAUAAACUGGAGGAAGGUGGGGAUGACGUCAAGUCAUCAUGGCCCUUACGACCAGGGCUACACACGUGCUACAAUGGCAUAUACAAAGAGAAGCGACCU